AGGCAGACAUUUAACCAUCUGAGCCACCCAGGUGUCCCAAAACACUAGCAGUUUUGAAGGGACAGUAUUUGUUAUCUAUAUAAAGUGGGCCUGGAAAGUAAUAAUCUUGUUCUCAUACAAAGCUCAAUGAAAUAGGUUUCAUUAAUAUUUAAACAUAAUGUAUAUUAGAAUCUUGGAUAUCAGAGGGAGGCAUUAUCUAGAAUUGUGAUCUAGAUGUUAUACAGUAGACUCUUCUAGUGUUCUGGAUCUGCAUUAGAGUAGAAAAUAAGAUCAGGAGCAAAAUCUUUUACUAAUCCUUCACAACAUUGUUAACCACAUGGAGAAAGCAUAUUUAGCAUACAUUACACCCAAAAUCUUGAAAUGGAUGCAUAUUUGAGAAAAGUAUAAACAAACAAGGAAGUAUUACAAUGACACUGACAUAGUGACACUACCUACCUGGGGAAAAUACUGUUGUUUUCUAUUAGGAUAAAUACAGUGGCUAUAGAUACUAACCAUUUCCCUUAGCAAUAGCUUGACUAUUAUUUUACAACCAACACAAGUAACUUGUCGAGAGAUUAAGAGGAUAAGUUAUGAAUAUCUAAACACUGAGGAUUUGCAUCAUAAAGCCCUAGAACUACUAUUCUAGUUCUAACAGAGUUCUCUUGCCAGCAUGCCUUGGAGAACUUUUAUCCAAUGAUCUGUGUCUCCCCUACUAGGUUGAAAACCAGAGCUUCUCUACUCGCUUUACUAAUCCCCAAAAUUAAUUCAAUAGAAGACUAUGCUUAUUUUUACUAGUUCCUUUGCUUUAUCUAGAAAAAUAAAGUGUGAAAAAUAGUUUGACAGCUUUAAAUUUGUUUUAUGUACUAAGUAAAACAAAGAUUCCCACUUUAAUACCACAUCAUAUACACACUUGCUAAAUAUUGCAUUGUAAUAAUUUAGUGACCUGAAAAUAAAGCAUAUAUAUGUAUAUAUUCAUGUAAUAUGUGCUCUUUUUACGUUCAGAAUCAUUUUUUAAAAAGGAAUACCUGAGGGGCACAUAGGUGGCUCAUUCAGUUAAGUGUCUGACUCCUGAUCUCAGCUCAAGUCUUAAUCUCAGGGUCAGUAAGUUCAGGCCCCACGUUGUGCUCCACAGGUAGCAGGUAGCCUAUUUAAAAAAAAAAAAAAAAAAUGAAGACCUAAAGAAACUACCACUGUAAUUUAAAAAAAAAUUUUUUUGACCAGUGUUAGAAGGCAAAAUUAAUUAACAAUGGAUAAGAAAUUAUUAUGUGAUAUAUACCAUAUAUUUUGCAUUCUAUUUAAUUAUCAAAACAAUUUAUUUGCUAGAGCUGUUAUCCCCAUUUUAUGGAAGAAGAAACUGAGAUUACGUAUUUUAUUGAACUUGGUCAACUUCUUGCAACUAAUACAUUAUGGAUCUAGUACUUAAAGCCACAUAUGUUUGACUCUAGACCCUGUACUCUCUUGAGUGCAUGAUGUAAAGCUUUGAACUGUCCCUGGCUGAAAACAACUUUUGUUAAACUGAUUCUUUGCUUCUUGAUCUGUAAAGGAAGUAUGUUGACCUAUCUUAGUUUUUAGUAAAGAUCUCCAUGUUUUUAAUACACAAUAAUUAAUGUUCACUAAUAGUUUUUUUUCUAGUCUAUAUUCAUUAUUGCAAAACAAUUAUGACUCAGUGAUGUUUUGAACUUAAUUUCAAUUUUAUUAAUUAAAACACAUCUGUAUACAUAUGGAAAGUACCAGUUGUGACAAUAGAAUAGAGAACUUUAUUUUGAAAAGUAAUUUAUAACUGAAAAUUGGCCAUAGAUAAAUUGUGAACAUGGGGGCCACACAUAUGGGGGUAAAAGUUGGCCUAGAGUCUUUUUUUUCUUUCUUUUUCAAGACAGUUGUAGUCAUUAAAUGUUUUUGUUGAAGUAUAAUUAACAUAAAGUGUUAUAUUCAUUUCAGGUAUACUAUAUAAUGAUUCAGCAAUUCUGUACAUUACUCAGUGCUUAUCAUCUUAAAUGUACUCUUAAUCUGUCUUACCUAUUUCAUCUAUCCCCCACAUGAACCUCCCCUCUAGCAAGCACCAGUUUGUUCUUGUCAUUUAAGAGUUUGAUUUUUUUAUUUGUUUGUAAUUCAACAAUUCUGUACAUAGUGCUCAUCACAAUAAAUGUACUCAAUCCCCUUUAUCUAUUUCACCCAUCCCCCAACCCACCUCUGGUAACUACCACUUUUUCCCUAUAUUUAGGAGUCUGGCUUUUUUUUUUCCCCCAGCCCUUGGGUGUGUGUGUGGGGGUGUUCCUUUUUUCUUUGUUCAUUUCUUUCUUUAAUUCCACAUAUAAGUGAAAUCAUAUGAUAUUUGUCUUCCUCUAUUGAUAUAUUUCACUUAGCAUUAUAUCCUCUAGGUCCAUCUACCUUAUUGCACAUUGCAAGAUCUCACUUAUAUUUAUGGCUGAGUGAUGUUCCAUUGUAUAUAUAUACCACAUCACCACAUUUUCUUUAUCCAUUCAUGUAUGAAUGGACAAUUGGGUUGCUUCCAUAUUUUGGCUGUUGUAAAUAAUGCUGCAAAACAUCAGAGUGCCUGGAAUCAUCUUAAAUGUGCAUUAUCCAAAAGAACUGCUUAGUAAGUAAUAGGAUCCCAGAAGAGAAUCUAUGAAGAGAUGGACCUGCUGAGAACCAAAUCACAGUGAAUCGUUGGUGAGCGAUGCCUACCAAUGAAUGGAGAGAGAAGUAAAUGUUCUGAGGAAUCAUGCAAGGAACUGAAAUACUCUGUGAGGAAAAAACCAAGAGUCACUUUUGACACUUGUCAAGACAGACAGCAAUGAUGGCAGCUCACAAAAGUACCAGGAGCCAGUAGCUUUUUUGUGCCCUCGCCUCUCUAUCCACCAUCUCAAACCCUGGUGUGAUCAGAAACAAUGCAAGUUAGUAACUGAAGAGAGAAAGAAAGACAAGUUGGGAAAACAGAGGAAUCUCUCUAAGCCGUACCGUGUGUUGCAGGCCUCCCUUCUGUUGCAUGGCUGAUUAGCACAACUGAAGAGGCAGAAGCCAUCUUGCCUCUAUGAUUAGACAAGCAGGAAGAUUAAAGCUUCUCUGUGAGGAUAAUGGAACAAAGUGAUAGAAGGGGCCUAGACUCCCUUCCUUUAGACUUCUUGUUAUGUGAGGAAAAUAAAAUGCUAUUAUAAGUUUAUGCCAGGGAUGGGCUUCAGUUUCUUGACUAUCAGUACAUCAGAGUUCAUAUAAUGUCCAUUAAUUGGCAAAAGGAAUCCAUUUUAAAGGAUCAAUCUGAGGGACUAACAGAUACCUAACUACAAUUAAAUCUCAGAAAAAUUAUAGCUUUUUACCCCAUUGUGUUUUUGAAAUUGAUCUCUCACAGUUUUUUAUCAAACUAUUAAAUACAUUUGAACAUUGUUA